UUUAUUAACCAUUUUGUCAUCCAACAACAUGUGUUUUUGUAAAAAAAAAUGUAUUACUUGCGAGUUUCAACUAAACAGUUGAACAAAGAACAAUGUCAGUCAGUUUUCUGGAGAAAAACGUGGACAAUAACUGCAGUUUCCCGUGAGGACCCUAAGGACGCUGAAGUUUAUUACAACACCGCCACCCCCUUCAAUAACGAUGAGUUUACUGAAGGAACCAGGGAUACAGAUACAGAUAGCCUGGAGAGCGUUCAAUUCCUCUUCAAGGAACUACAGACCGAAUAUGCCACAGGAUUUGACACAGACGACUACUAUCGUCCAAUUUCGGAUAUUUCUCCAGAACCUAUCCUCUGUCGGGCCACAAUGAUUAAUAAUUGUACCCAGGAUCCUACAACCUGCCCAAGAGGCCGACCUUCGUUGUGGAGUCGGGCUAGACGAGUCAUGGGCCGUGGGAUGGAAAACUUAAGAAGAUGUUGUUGCUUUUGAGCGGGUAUCUUAUAAAAGAUUCGAGCAAAACCCAAAUUUAAUUUGAACGUGAUAGACAAGCAAGAACGACGGUGACAGUAGCAUCGCGACUCCAGCUGUUGGUGCCUUCAAGCCACCGCUGGAUGGUUACUCGUUCACCGUUCUACCUUUGCCUAUCCGUCCGUGAA